GCUCGCAAGAGGGAAACUCAAAGGAAUUGACGGGGACCCGCACAAGUAGCGGAGCAUGUGGUUUAAUUCGAAGCAACGCGAAGAACCUUACCUAAGCUUGACAUCCCAAUGACAUCUCCUUAAUCGGAGAGUUCCUUUCGGGGACAUUGGUGACAGGGGGUGCAUGGUUGUCGUCAGCUCGUGUCGUGAGAUGUUGGGUUAAGUCCCGCAACGAGCGCAACCCUUGUCUUUAGUUGCCAUCAUUAAGUUGGGCACUCUAGAGAGACUGCCAGGGAUAACCUGGAG
rnacentral:rRNA from 1 species